UUCGGACCUAGAGACCGGCGCACGGGUGCGUAACGCGUAUGCAAUCUACCUUUUACAGAGGGAUAGCCCAGAGAAAUUUGGAUUAAUACCUCAUAGUAUAAUGACUCGGCAUCGAGAUAUUAUUAAAGUCACAACGGUAAAAGAUGAGCAUGCGUCCCAUUAGCUUGUUGGUAAGGUAACGGCUUACCAAGGCAACGAUGGGUAGGGGUCCUGAGAGGGAGAUCCCCCACACUGGUACUGAGACACGGACCAGACUCCUACGGGAGGCAGCAGUGAGGAAUAUUGGUCAAUGGGCGCAAGCCUGAACCAGCCAUGCCGCGUGCAGGAUGAAGCAUCUAUGGUGUGUAAACUGCUUUUGUACGAGAAGAAACACUCCUUCGUGAAGGAGCUUGACGGUAUCGUAAGAAUAAGGACCGGCUAACUCCGUGCCAGCAGCCGCGGUAAUACGGAGGGUCCAAGUGUUAUCCGGAAUCAUUGGGUUUAAAGGGUCCGUAGGCGGUUUUGUAAGUCAGUGGUGAAAGCCCAUCGCUCAACGGUGGAACGGCCAUUGAUACUGCAAGACUUGAAUUAUUAGGAAGUAACUAGAAUAUGUAGUGUAGCGGUGAAAUGCUUAGAGAUUACAUGGAAUACCAAUUGCGAAGGCAGGUUACUACUAAUAUAUUGACGCUGAUGGACGAAAGCGUGGGGAGCGAACAGGAUUAGAUACCCUGGUAGUCCACGCCGUAAACGAUGGAUACUAGCUGUUCGGAGCAAUCUGAGUGGCUA
rnacentral:rRNA from 1 species